rnacentral:tRNA from 1 species
GAGGGUAUAGCUCAAGUGGUAGAGCACAUGCCUAGCAUGUAUGAGGUCCUGGGAUCAAUUCCCGGUACCUCCU